GGCUUCGUAGCUCAGCUGGUGGAGCGUUUGCCUUGUUGAGGCAUGGUGUUCCUGUCGAUGGUUCGAAUCCAGUCGAAGCCC